rnacentral:tRNA from 1 species
UGGCUCAGUUGGUAGAGCACGGCACUUGCAACGCCAUAGUUGUGGGUUCGAUUCCCAU